GUCUCGCUCGUCCAGCGGUCCAGGACACCUGGCUUUCAUCCAGGAAACAGGGGUUCGACUCCCCUGCGAGACA
rnacentral:tRNA from 1 species